CACGCCGUAAACGAUGAUCACUCGUGAUCGGCGAUAUACUGUCGGUCACCUAGCGAAAGCGUUAAGUGAUCCACCUGGGGAGUACGAUCGCAAGAUUGAAACUCAAAGGAAUUGACGGGGGCCCGCACAAGCGGUGGAGCAUGUGGUUUAAUUCGAUGAUACGCGAGGAACCUUACCAGGGCUCGAACGUACGUUGACAGGGGCGGAAACGUCCUCUUCUUCGGACAACGUGCGAGGUGC
rnacentral:rRNA from 1 species